CUCCCCUCAGGAUCGCAUCUGGAGGGUUUACAGUACUCUACCAGUCUCGGCUAUGGAAUGGAGAGUCAAGCAGAGGCAUCGCCAUUCCAUUCCUAGCUUGGCCAGUGGCUAGAGAGUGGAAGGCAAUCUGCUACAUGU